rnacentral:lncRNA from 1 species
UUUAAGCAAUUAGUCUAUACUUUUGGUAUGCAAGAGAUAUAAUAAUCUCCUUAAAUAAAAUGCCUCAACUCGACACUUCAACAUGAACCUUAACAAUUAUACUCAUAAUUAUCUCACUAUUUUGCAUCUAUCAGCUUAAAAUAAUGAAUCAAGUAAUUAUCCAAAUUACCCCUUCAAAUGAAAAGAAAAAAGCUACAAAAAGCACCUUACCCUGACAAACAAAAUGAACGAAAAUUUAUUUGCCCCAUUCGUCACACCAACAAUUAUAGGUAUUACAACCCUACCUAUUAUUAUUAUUAUAUUUCCCUGUGUUAUACUAUCAUCCCCAAAACGAUGACUACCAAACCGAAUUCAAACACUACAAAUCUGACUAAUUCGCUUAAUUACUAAACAAAUAAUGACAAUGCAUAACAAACAAGGACGAACCUGGACCCUAAUACUAAUCUCUUUAAUUCUCUU